GAUGAACGCUGGCGGCGUGCCUAAUACAUGCAAGUCGAGCGGACAGACGAGGAGCUUGCUCCUCUAACGUUAGCGGCGGACGGGUGAGUAACACGUGGAUAACCUACCUAUAAGACUGGGAUAACUUCGGGAAACCGGAGCUAAUACCGGAUAAUAUAUUGAACCGCAUGGUUCAAUAGUGAAAGACGGUUUUGCUGUCACUUAUAGAUGGAUCCGCGCCGCAUUAGCUAGUUGGUAAGGUAACGGCUUACCAAGGCAACGAUGCGUAGCCGACCUGAGAGGGUGAUCGGCCACACUGGAACUGAGACACGGUCCAGACUCCUACGGGAGGCAGCAGUAGGGAAUCUUCCGCAAUGGGCGAAAGCCUGACGGAGCAACGCCGCGUGAGUGAUGAAGGUCUUCGGAUCGUAAAACUCUGUUAUUAGGGAAGAACAAAUGUGCAAGUAACUAUGCACGUCUUGACGGUACCUAAUCAGAAAGCCACGGCUAACUACGUG
rnacentral:rRNA from 1 species